rnacentral:rRNA from 1 species
AGAGUUUGAUCCUGGCUCAGAAUCAACGCUGGCGGCGUGCCUAACACAUGCAAGUCGAACGCGAAAGGGGCUUCGGCCCUGAGUAGAGUGGCGAACGGGUGAGUAACGCGUGGGUGACCUACCUUCGAGUGGGGGAUAACGUCCCGAAAGGGACGCUAAUACCGCAUGACAUCCUGCCUUUGAACAGGCAGAGAUCAAAGCUGGGGAUCGCAAGACCUGGCGCUUGGAGAGGGGCCCGCGUCCGAUUAGCUAGUUGGUGAGGUAACGGCUCACCAAGGCGACGAUGCGUAGGGGGUGUGAGAGCAUGACCCCCACCACUGGGACUGAGAUACUGCCCAGACACCUACGGGUGGCUGCAGUCGAGAAUCUUCGGCAAUGGGCGAAAGCCUGACCGAGCGACGCCGCGUGUGGGAUGAAGGCCCUUGGGUUGUAAACCACUGUCAGAGGGGAUGAAAUGCGGGAGAGCAAUCUCUUCCGUUUGACAUAGCCUCAGAGGAAGCACGGGCUAAGUUCGUGCCAGCAGCCGCGGUAAUACGAACUGUGCAAACGUUAUUCGGAAUCACUGGGCUUACAGGGUGCGUAGGCGGCUUGUUAAGCAGGGUGUGAAAUCCCUCGGCUCAACCGAGGAAUUGCGCCCUGAACUGGCGAGCUUGAGUGGGAUAGAGGUGCGUGGAACUUCCAGUGGAGCGGUGAAAUGUGUUGAUAUUGGAAGGAACACCAGAGGCGAAAGCGGCGCACUGGAUCUCAACUGACGCUGAGGCACGAAAGCCAGGGGAGCAAACGGGAUUAGAUACCCCGGUAGUCCUGGCUGUAAACGAUGAGCACUAGCUGGCAGCGGCGGAUGCCGUUGCCAACGUAGCGAAAGUGUUAAGUGCUCCGCCUGGGGAGUACGCACGCAAGUGUGAAACUCAAAGGAAUUGACAGGGACCUAUCGUGACUGGGAAC